rnacentral:rRNA from 1 species
UCUGAAUUCCCAUCCACCGGGUUUGAGCAGCUCACCACGCUCGCCCAUCACAACUUCUCCAACUCCAACUUUCCAGGCCAAGUGCCCGUCUAUAGUAUUGGUCGCCUCCCAAAUUUGGUUUCUCACGACCUCUCCUACUCUGAAAUUAUUGAGUUGUACGAUCAUACCUACAUGAUUCUAGUCUAUUCCGAUCUGCUCAUACUGCCUAAGUUAAUAGCCUUAGUUGCAAACCUUACCAGUUUGAGGGAGCUCCAUCUUGGUUGGGUGGAUAUGUUCGGGCAAGGAGACGAGUGGUGCAGUGGUCUAGCCAAGUGCACUCCAAAUCUCAACGUUCUUAGCUUGCCCUUUUGCUUGCUCUCUAGCCCCAUUUGUGGAUCACUCGCCAGUUUGCAACCACUCUUCGUGGUCGGUGUGCAGUACAACAGGUUGACCGGUUCAAUUCCAGUGUUCUUCGCCAACUUCUCCUCCUUGAGUGUUAUCCAGCUUAGUUAUAAUAACCUUGAAGGACGAGUCCCUCCCGCGAUCUUUCAACACAAGAAACUAGUGACUAUUGAUCUUCACCACAAUUCUAACAUAUUAGGUAAUCUACCGAAUUUCUCAACUGAUAGUUGUCUGGAGAACUUGUUUGUCGGUGACACCAAUUUCUCUGGUACAGUACCAAGUUCUAUUAGUGAUCUCAAACAUUUGAAUAAGCUAGGCCUUGAUGCACUCUUUUUUGGAGAGCUACCCUCAUCAAUCGGUAGGCUCACAUCCUUGAAUUCAUUGCAGAUCUCUGGGUUGGGAUUAGUAGGAUCGAUAGCAUCAUGGAUCACAAACCUAACAUGCCUAGAGGUCCUAGAAGUUUCUUAUGAUGGCUUCAAUGGACUAAUACCUUCUUCCAUUGGUGAUUUGAACAAAUUGAGGAAAUUAGCACUUUAUAAGUGCAAUUUUUCUUGGAAAACACCUUCAAGUAUCUUGAACUUAACUCUGUUAGAUACCCUCGUACUUGAUUCAAAUAAUCUCGUAGGCACCGUGCAGCUGAACUCGUUAUGGAAACUACAAAACCUAAUUGAUUUGAAUUUCUCACACAAUAAAUUAAGUGUAAUAGAAGGAGAACAUAAUUAUUCAUUGAUGUCCUUCCCCAACAUUGCAUAUCUAGGUUUGGCAUCAUGUAACAUGAACAAUUUCCCUAACAUUCUGGGACAUACAGAUAAUAUAAAAGUAGUUGAUCUUUCGAGUAACCAAAUUCAUGGUUCCAUACCCCAGUGGGCAUGGGAGAAAUGAACAGACCAUGGCCCUUUGAAUCUGAACUUAUCACACAAUGAAUUUACAAGUGUU